rnacentral:lncRNA from 1 species
GGCCUCUGUCACUUAGAAUUAUAUCCAUGCUCCAACACCAAUCCCUCCCUAACAUUAGCUAGUUCUAACACGAUGCUUUCUGUGUGCCAGGUACUAUUCUAUAAGUAUGUUACACAUUUUAACUCAGUCUUCACAGAAAGGUAGGAUUUACCAUGAUUUCCAUUUUAUAGAUGAAAUAACCAAGGAAUAGAGAGGAGUUAAGUAAAUUACCCACAAAUACCCAGAUAGUAAAGUGAUGUAAGUAGAAUUUGACUCGGGAAAUCUGGCUUCAGAGGCUGGGCUCUUAGUUACACACCAUGUGGGAAACGGUUAACUAUGCACUCUUUAUGUUGAAAUUAAUCUUUUUAAACUAUGUAAAUAAGAGGGUGAUUCUUGGUGUUGAUCUCCUGAGAAGAUAGGACAUAUUCCACCCCCCAGGACUGGCAUGUGGCCCAGUGGCAGUGCCAGAACCUUUGAACACACAGCUCUAUUCCAUGUGACACCAGUGGAAAACGAAGCAUUUCUUGGCAGUGUUGAUGAGUAUUUGGAUGAAAAAAACAGAAGAGCUCAUUAAACCUGUAAAACUCUGUUCCAGAGGUGACCAGCAUUACUUCCCCUGGGAAGUCACUGAAAAACAAUUACCCUGAGACACAGAUUGGCUCUCUUUUUACCUGCUGCCAUCCAUGUAAGACAUGACUUGUUUCUCCUUGCCUUCUGCCAUGAUAGUGAGGCUUCCCCAGACACUUGGAACUGUGCAGAGAUGUUGGGCUCACUGGAGCUGCACUCACCUCCCAUGUGAUGCUGUGUCAAAAAUGAUCUUUCCCUGUGCAUCCAUCGGCCAAAUCUCCUCCCCAGGCUGGAACACGAAAAGAAAGAGAGUUUGCACAAAGCUCUGUCUGGCCUCAGCCAAGCUUGGGGCCCAGAAACCUUGAGACUGAUAGAACCAUCUGUCCUUAUUCUUGAACAGAUUUGUAAAAUUAGGCUAAUGGCUAGGGAAGUACUUGCAGGAAAUAUGCGUCCUAGAAAUGCUUUUGAACGUUACAGAUUCAAUAAAUAUUGACUGUGUCAAGGCUAAGCUGAGGCACCUGGAUCCCCUCCCAGGCAGACUCUAGGGUGUUAUGGUGCCCAGCAGGCCCCCUGGUCCUGGACCCUUGCGAAGAGCUGUCUCCUUGCCAGUGACUUGUCAGCAUUCAAAGCUGAGUCUCGUCCUCACCGAACUUCCUGUUCCUAAACUGAACUCCACUGUCGGCGACAUGGGUUUGAGACUCCAGGGGAUAAGAACUUGAAAAUGUCGGCAGUACAUCCACAACACUGCGGCAAAGCCGUGGAUACCAGUGAACUCCUGUCACUCUAGGGCUAGAGUUGUGAACUGACUUUGGAAAAGUUUCAGAAAAAUAAAAAGCACAAGAGAGAAUCGUAAAGUAUUAUUUAUCUUCUCAUCCUCACAAACUGAUUCCUCUCUUGCAUUCAGUUGCUAAUAUUUAUGUUGAUCACCAAAUUAAAACAACUUGUGCUAACCUGCAAAGGUACUGGGAAAUGAAGAAGGUAAAGAUCCACGUAGCUCAGCUAAAGUUUCUUCAGUGACAUUUCAAGGCCUCUUUGGACCAAUUCUGGGCAGGAAAAGGUGCCCCACAGCUGCAAUGAUUGAAAGAGAAGUUGUGUGAGAUUAUUUCUUCAAAAGUCUUCGAGAGAGCUUAUUGAAAUGGCAAAUAAACAUCAGCAGCCAAACUAUCUUAGAGAAGUGACAAGUUACUCCCAGUGAACGCGUAAGUUCUUAAUUAUCAUGGCAGAUUUUCAUAUGGAAUAAAGACGAUAAAUGUAGGAAAAAAAUACGGGUUUCAGCAGAGAUUCUCAAACUUUAGAAGGUAAAAGAAUAAUCUGAUUUGCUUGUACAAAACAUAUUCCUGGGUUCUACUCCAAACGUAAUAAAUCACAACGUCUAGAGAGUGGACUGGGAAAAUGCCUGCCAGACAAUAGCCUGAACUGAUGGUGAUUCAGUAGGCCCUGGCUUGACUGUAUUAAAUGGUUAGGUUUCCCAAAGAAAGUUAGGCCCAUAGGAGAAAUCUUUUUUGGGUGCUUCAGUUCCCUCGUUCUAAGAAGCAGUAAUCUAGGGGAAGAAAUCAUCAAAAUGACUAAAACUAAGGAAACCAGCGUUUCGUACAAUGUUUUGUUUGAAGGGUCACACAUUUAGUGCGAAAGGAGAAUUAAAAGAUGGGACUGAGAAAGCUAGUGCCGUAGCUACUGCACAGCUAAAGGCAGUCAUAUGUCACAUGCUGGGCUGGAAGGAAGAAACUUUUUUUAAAAAUCAACUUGCAUAGGAUUCACUUGCAUGGGCCUAAGUGCUAUCUCUGUGGACUACUUCCCCUCACGUUUAAAUGGUUUUUGUUUUUUGUUUUUUCUAGCAGUAGUCAGGUGAGUGAAUACUAGGGUAAAAAUUGCUUUGGGGUUCCUUUCCCUAUCUGACUUAAAUACAUAAGUUAUUUUAUUUGUUUAGGAUAUGAUGCCAGUGAAUAUGAAGAAUAUUAUUAAUAGAAGAAAAUGGCUCAAGGGUUUAAAAAGUACAUAAGUACAUUUACAAACAUUAACUUAAUCUUCAGAGAAAUAAACAGUAAACAUUUAUUGACCACAAAAUGGGUGGAGAUGUCAGGAGGAAGGCUCAGAGAGGUUAAAAAACUUUUUUGGUUAAGAAAUUUCACCAAGUCAAAUGGAAUAUUCAAGAACUAAAAUUUGAUCCUAGUUCAUCUGUUUCCAAAGCCUAUGCUUUCUGACUAAAUCACAUUACUUCAUACUUUAGCUAAGAAAGAUUAAGUCACUUUGUCAAAACUUGACUAUCGUAGAGUAGGAAAAGUCAAAUCAUUUCUGAGUUAAAACAUAUGAUAAUAAUAACAGCAUUUUUGAGCAUCUGAAAUGUUAUCAAAUACUUUUCAGCAAGAUUUACAUGUGUUUUUAAAAGUGUAACACUCAUGAAAAUCCUGUGACAUAAAUAAUACUGUCUCUGUUUUACAACUUGGGAAACUGAAGGAUAGUAUUUUAGUAGUUUGUCGAAGGUCGCACAUAUUCAUUUAUUUUUACACUUGCUAUAGACUAGGGAAGGUCACACAUUUAAUAAGUGGCAGAGCCUGGAUUCAAAUAUAAAAGUCUCAUUACAGAAUUCACAUUCCUAACCAGACUUCUCAUGACGCAAGGUCUGAGUAGAUGAAGAUUAAACCAAUGAAGAGAAAUUUGCCAAGGAGCUCUACAGCUAAGAGUGAGCUCUCCACAGAAACAGAUGCAUUGGUACACAGCACCUUUGUGGUAUAGAAUAUAUCUUUUCUCUUCACAGUGCCGUUGGCAAUCUUCUUUUGGAUGGCCUGCCCGAUGGCUUCUUCAUUCAGGUACGAAUAAGCUGAGUCAAUAUGGUGGUAGCCUACAUCAAUUGCUACCUGGACGGCCUCUUCUACAUUACUCAUAGUAACCUGGAAGAGCAUAAAGAGAUAAAGAUUUGUUUGACUCAGGAACAGAUGAUCAAUUCUCUUAGCAGAGAUAUUCAAAAGAACCUUUUUUCCCCCCUACUAAGGGCUAAGAGCUAGAGGUGGCAAAGCUAAAUGUUGAGUAAAAAUCAAUAGUAAGUGUUUAGCAACUAGCUCUGAGGAAGUCCUGGUUUGUAGUAUUUGCCAAUUUCUGUAGUGUAAAUACUCCCACUAUGGAUGAGUUCAAGCUUGCUAAAUUGGGCAAAGAUGCUCACAAUACACUCUUUUGAGUCCUUAUGAGCACAUCACAGUCUUUAAAUCUCUAUGUAUUUAUAGUAUGUUUAUGAUCUAUAGAUUUGCACAAUCUAUAGAUUUACAUUCCUAACUUAAUUUGCUCUAUAAGAGGUUAUAAAAUUGGUUUUGAUCCAAUAAUUUAGUUCUAAUAGUUGUCUAUCCACAUAAAGAUAUAACUUUAGACACAAUAAAUUAUUAAUUUACCUAUCUAAACUUGGAAAAACAAAGAACAUUUGAGGAAGAAUAAAAA